UAAAGUCCACGUAGGAUGAAAUCGUCGUAAAGUCCACGCAUGAUGAAAUCGUUGUAAAGUCCACGUAGGAUGAAAUCGUCGUAAAGUCCACGCAGGAUGAAAUUGUCGUAAAGUCCACGAAGGAUGAAAUCGUCGUAAAGUCCACGUAGCAUAAAAUCGUCGUAAAGUCCACGUAGGAUUAAAUCGUCGUAAAAACCACGUAAGACAACGAGGAAAUAACGACGAAACCUAAAAUUAAAUAUGAGGUUU
rnacentral:lncRNA from 1 species